GAUGUUGGGAGAGGGGCAGAGGGGGAAACCAGAGAGGAAUGUUGGGGCAAAUGCUUUUCCAAAUGUCAGCUCCGGCUUUCGCGGGGAAAACUGGAUUAAAGGCUCGUUACAAAUGUGUUUUGCCAUCAGAGUGAGAGAUCCGUCUCCCCAAACACUUUGCUCUGACAGUCCGCGUCAAAGAGUUUGACAGAACUCAUUUCUCCACCAAACGAAUGAGAUCAAGGUAGCAACAAAACCGUUUCACGAGGAGCACGGGGCUCGCUUACCUUGAUGGAGAGGGUUCCCCAAACACGGAGGUCCUGGAUCACUUUGUUUUGACCCCACGACAACCAUCAGCAACCCCAGCAACAUCCAGUGUGGCCUCGCCCACUUUGACCCCCAGGAUUCCCCCUCCAUGGAGGUUCCUUGAGUCCCCUGGAGCCUCCACCUGCAAGGCCCACCUACCCAUUUUUGAAUCAACACACCCUCUCAGCUGC
rnacentral:sRNA from 1 species